rnacentral:rRNA from 1 species
CGUGGCUAACCUGCCCUUAGGAUGGGAACAACCCCGGGAAACUGGGGCUAAUUCCCGAUAGGCGAAGAACUCUGGAAUGAGUCUUUGCCCAAAAGGUGUCGGAUCAUGCUUUCGGCAUCGCCUAAGGAUGGGGCCGCGACCGAUCAGGUUGUUGGUGAGGUAAUGGCCCACCAAGCCUAUAACCGGUGCGGGCCGUGAGAGCGGGAGCCCGGAGAUGGGCACUGAGACAAGGGCCCAGGUCCUACGGGGCGCAGCAGUCGCGAAACCUUUGCAAUACACGAAAGUGUGACAGGGUCAUCCCGAGUGCCGACCGCUGAGGUUGGCUUUUACCCAGUCUAGAAAGCUGGGGGAAUAAGGAGAGGGCAAGUCUGGUGUCAGCCGCCGCGGUAAUACCAGCUCUCCGAGUGGUGUGGACGUUUAUUGGGCCUAAAGCAUCCGUAGCUGGCUGAACAAGUCCCCUGUUAAACCCACCGAUUUAAUCGUUGGUCUGCGGGGGAUACUGCUCGGCUAGGGGACGAGAGAGGCAGACGCUAUUCCCGGGGUAGGGGUGAAAUCCUAUAAUCCCGAGAAGACCACCAGUGGCGAAGGCUGUCUGCUAGAACGCGCCCGACGGUGAGGGAUGAAAGCUGGGGGAGCGAACCGGAUUAGAUACCCGGGUAGUCCCAGCUGU